rnacentral:tRNA from 1 species
AGCUGGAAUAGGCUAACUGGUUAAACCACGCCAUUCAUACUGGCGAAUCGAUGGGUUCGAGUCCCUCUCCCAGCUA